UUCUUUGGUGAUCUAGUUGUAUGACUAUUUUUCAAUUCAUAAAGCUAGUUCAGCAAAGCA
rnacentral:pre_miRNA from 1 species